rnacentral:rRNA from 1 species
GAUGAACGCUGGCGGCGUGCCUAAUACAUGCAAGUCGAGCGAACAGAUGAGGAGCUUGCUCCUCUGACGUUAGCGGCGGACGGGUGAGUAACACGUGGAUAACCUACCUAUAAGACUGGGAUAACUUCGGGAAACCGGAGCUAAUACCGGAUAAUAUAUUGAACCGCAUGGUUCAAUAGUGAAAGACGGUUUUGCUGUCACUUAUAGAUGGAUCCGCGCCGCAUUAGCUAGUUGGUAAGGUAACGGCUUACCAAGGCAACGAUGCGUAGCCGACCUGAGAGGGUGAUCGGCCACACUGGAACUGAGACACGGUCCCGACUCCUACGGGAGGCAGCAAUAGGGAAUCUUCCGCAAUGGGCGAAAGCCUGACGGAGCAACGCCGCGUGAGUGAUGAAGGUCUUCGGAUCGUAAAACUCUGUUAUUAGGGAAGAACAAAUGUGUAAGUAACUAUGCACGUCUUGACGGUACCUAAUCAGAAAGCCACGGCUAACUACGUG